rnacentral:rRNA from 1 species
GACGGAGGGCCCUAGCGUUGUUCGGAAUCAUUGGGCUUAAAGCGCGUGUAGGCGGACCGCCAAGCGUCUUGUGAAAGCCCCCGGCUCAACCGGGGAAUGGCUGGGCGAACUGGCGGUCUUGAGGCAGGUAGGGGCGACUGGAACGUUAGGUGGAGCGGUGAAAUGCGUAGAUAUCUAACGGAACGCCAGUGGCGAAAGCGGGUCGCUGGGCCUGUCCUGACGCUGAGACGCGAAAGCGUAGGGAGCAAACGGGAUUAGAUACCCCCGUA